rnacentral:rRNA from 1 species
AUUGAACGCUGGCGGCAGGCCUAACACAUGCAAGUCGAACGCGUGGCGGACGGGAGUGUAAUGUCUGGGAAACUGCCUGAUGGAGGGGGAAAACUACUGGAAACGGUAGCUAAUAACACAUACUAUCAGAUGUGCCCAGUUGGGAUUGGCGUGUUGGUGGGGUAACGGCUCACCAAGGCGAAGAUCCCUAGCUGGUCUGAGAGGAUGAACAGCCACACUGGAACUGAGACACGGUCCAGACUCCUACGGGAGGCAGCAGUGGGGAAUAUUGCACAAUGGGCGCAAGCCUGAUGCAGCCAUGCCGCGUGUAUGAAGAAGGCCUUCGGGUUGUAAAGUACUUUCAGCGGGGAGGCGUUACCCGCAGAAGAAGCACCGGCUAACUCCGUGCCAGCAGCCGCGGUAAUUC